rnacentral:lncRNA from 1 species
UAUUAAAUAAAAUGAAAUUAUCAUUAAAACUAUUUUUAUGCGUACAGUCGUUUUGAUAAAUGUGAAUGUUAUGUAUAAUUAAUAUUAAACAUUUUAUUUACAAACUAAAUUUGGAUGGCAUCGACUAUUACACAUUUGGCCUGAUUUUCCACAGGCAUAUCUAUCAAAUUCACAUCUGUUUUUACCACAAUAUCAACAUUUAAAAAAACCCUUGUCCUCCAUAUCAAAUCAGAUUUUACGGCACGUCUCAGAGAAAUAGAGUUUUUAGCACAAACAUCUGAAGGUACAAAUUGUACCAAUGAAAGGAAAUCAGCAACCUCAAACUGAUUUCUUGUAUUAAAGAUCUGAGCAGGAUUCCAUGCUAUAUAGCAAGGCGAUAUCCUUCUUCAGUCUUUUCGUGCGACUAUUGACCAUUAGUUUUUUGGGAUCUCCCUUUCCUGGAACCACUAGUGUAAUUGGUUUGAGAUAUCAUUUUUGAAGCUUUUAAUUAUUGAUAAUCCCUGAAAUCAUAUUAGGGAAUUUGUAGAAUAAUAAUUAAAAUUAUCAGUGAUUAUAUAAAAUCACUGGUUAUUUUCAGGGAAUCUAUAUAAUCACUCAUGAUUUUAGUGAUUCUACAUAAACCCUGAAAAAUCAGGGAUUCUACAUAAUCCC